ACAGGUGGUGCAUGGUUGUCGUCAGCUCGUGUCGUGAGAUGUUGGGUUAAGUCCCGCAACGAGCGCAACCCCUAUUGUUAGUUGCCAUCAUUCAGUUGGGCACUCUAGCGAGACUGCCGGUAAUAAACCGGAGGAAGGUGGGGAUGACGUCAAAUCAUCAUGCCCCUUAUGACCUGGGCUACACACGUGCUACAAUGGUUGGUACAACGAGUUGCGAGUCGGUGACGGCGAGCUAAUCUCUUAAAGCCAAUCUCAGUUCGGAUUGUAGGCUGCAACUCGCCUACAUGAAGUCGGAAUCGCUAGUAAUCGCGGAUCAGCACGCCGCGGUCGAAUACGUUCCCGGGCCUU
rnacentral:rRNA from 1 species